CAACUUUUGUAAUUUUAAAAAGUGACGUUGCGUCUUGUAAAGGGGCAUUUUUCUGGAUCAGACCGGUCUUCAGCAAAUCACAUUUUGGGUAUACAAUGACGGAUUUAAUCGGGAAAAAGACCCAAUUGUGAUGUUUAUGUGACAUAUAGGAGUGCCAAGAAAGAAGCUCGUCAAAGGAACAUCCUCCCUAACAAGUUUUAACAAAACAUUUUAUGAUCUCAAUUUAAGACUUCACCCUCCCUACACCUCUGAUGAAUAUAACAGGAAACCUGUUCGAUCACCAUGUACUGCAAAAUCAUUCUGGCUAUGGAUACGGAGAACAUCAACACAUUAACAUCAAUACGCCAGAGGAUAUAUCAAUUGGACUUGGGGCUCUGCUGGGAGUUUACUUCAUAUUUAGAUUUUUUUUAUUCUGCUUUGCCACUAAAUCAUAAACACUGACAACUAAAAUAUUGUGGUAUUGUUGUUAUUGUUAUGCGUAUUAUGAAUA
ensembl:lncRNA